GGGGAAUAUUGCACAAUGGGGGAAACCCUGAUGCAGCAACGCCGCGUGAAGGAAGACGGUUUUCGGAUUGUAAACUUCUAUCGAUAGGGACGAAAAAAAUGACGGUACCUAAAUAAGAAGCCCCGGCUAACUACGUGCCAGCAGCCGCGGUAAUACGUAGGGGGCAAGCGUUAUCCGGAAUUACUGGGUGUAAAGGGUGAGUAGGCGGCAUGGUAAGUUAGAUGUGAAAGCCCGAGGCUUAACCUCGGGAUUGCAUUUAAAACUAUCAAGCUAGAGUACAGGAGAGGAAAGCGGAAUUCCUAGUGUAGCGGUGAAAUGCGUAGAUAUUAGGAAGAACACCAGUGGCGAAGGCGGCUUUCUGGACUGAAACUGACGCUGAGGCACGAAAGCGUGGGGAGCGAAC
rnacentral:rRNA from 1 species